AAAUAUGCCUUCUCACUCUCAGCUCCUAGUGCCUCUUGCUCCCAGCUCCUCACAUGCAUGCUACAAACUGAAAUGAGGUCCUUUUUAACUGAGGUGCCAUGAUUGGCCAGCCUGUCCUAAUUGAUUCUAGCAGUUUUUGCUUAAUUGUCUCCAGG